rnacentral:rRNA from 1 species
AGGGUUCGAUUAUGGCUCAGGACGAACGCUGGCGGCGGGCCUAACACAUGCAAGUCGAACGCACUCGACCUUCGGGUCACAUGAGUGAGUGGCGAACGGGUGAGUAACACGUGAGGAACCUGCCCCGAAGACUGGAAUAACCCGGGGAAACUCGGGCUAAUACCGGAUGCCCCCAUCGGAUCGCAUGGUCCGAUGAGGAAACGCUCCGGCGCUUCGGGAGGGUCUCACGGCCUAUCAGCUAGUUGGUGAGGUAACGGCUCACCAAGGCAACGACGGGUAGCUGGUCUGAGAGAACGAUCAGCCACACUGGGACUGAGACACGGCCCAGACUCCUACGGGAGGCAGCAGUGGGGAAUCUUGCGCAAUGGGCGAAAGCCUGACGCAGCCACGCCGCGUGAGGGAUGAAGGCUCUCGGGUUGUAAACCUCUUUCAGCAGGGACGAAAAUGACGGUACCUGCAGAAGAAGCUCCGGCCAACUACGUGCCAGCCGCCGCGGUAAUAC